AAUCUCAACCGUCUCUUGCUCACAUUUAGCGGCGCUAUCGCUGCCACAUCCAUCAUAGAGUAUUAAGGGCAAGUUUUGAUUGGAAUCAAUAUCAGAAUCAUCUUUUGUGUCAAUGUUAAUGCAAGCGCACCGCUCCAAGGAUGAGAAGAACACCGUCGCAACACCGUUGAGGAGCCAUGAAGCUACUCCGUCCAGCUUUUUCAAUGCAAGAGCACAGCUCUGGCUUGCUUGUGGCAGCUCCUUGAAUUCCUGACUUCCUUUACAGUGGCACCAAUUUAUGCAGCCUCUAGAAAUAAAAGUUGUGCCCAUUAUUGAGAGGACUUUGAAGUUGAAGAAACAGGGUAAAAAUUGAGGAGAGAUUGACAAGGUUUGACAGGUUUUUAAAGGGUUUUCAACAUGUUAAACACACUAAUUUUAUCAGCUAUAAAAAUGUAAACGUUCUAGAAAUUUAGAUGCCUUUGGACAUUCGUAAAUCCAAGUUGUAAUAAGAUAAUCAUUCUCGGGUGAGAUUGGAGGAAACUUUGAUAAAACAAAGUUAACAAAAAGGACAGAAUAAU
rnacentral:misc_RNA from 1 species